CAAUAUAAGUGAUGGCGACCGGCGCACGGGUGAGUAACACGUAUCCAACCUGCCGAUAACUCGGGGAUAGCCUUUCGAAAGAAAGAUUAAUACCCGAUGGUAUAAUAAAGCCGCAUGGUUUAAUUAUUAAAGAAUUUCGGUUAUCGAUGGGGAUGCGUUCCAUUAGGCAGUUGGUGGGGUAACGGCCCACCAAACCUUCGAUGGAUAGGGGUUCUGAGAGGAAGGUCCCCCACAUUGGAACUGAGACACGGUCCAA
rnacentral:rRNA from 1 species